CAUGCAGUCGAACGGUAGAGGGGGCAACCCCUUGAGAGUGGCGAACGGGUGAGUAAUGUAUCGGAACGUGCCCAGUCGUGGGGGAUAACGUAGUGAAAAUUACGCUAAUACCGCAUACGAUCUAUGGAUGAAAGCGGGGGAUCGCAAGACCCCGCGCGAUUGGAGCGGCCGAUAUCAGAUUAGGUAGUUGGUGGGGUAAAGGCUCACCAAGCCAACGAUCUGUAGCUGGUCUGAGAGGACGACCAGCCACACUGGAACCGAGACACGGUCCAGACUCCUACGGGAGGCAGCAGUGGGGAAUUUUGGACAAUGGACGCAAGUCUGAUCCAGCCAUUCCGCGUGCAGGACGAAGGCCUUCGGGUUGUAAACUGCUUUUGUACGGAACGAAAAAGCUCUUAUUAAUACUAGGAGUCCAUGACGGUACCGUAAGAAUAAGCACCGGCUAACUACGUGCCAGCAGCCGCGGUAAUACGUAGGGUGCAAGCGUUAAUCGGAAUUACUGGGCGUAAAGCGUGCGCAGGCGGUUAUAUAAGACAGAUGUGAAAUCCCCGAGCUUAACUUGGGAACUGCAUUUGUGACUGUAUAGCUAGAGUACGGCAGAGGGGGAUGGAAUUCCGCGUGUAGCAGUGAAAUGCGUAGAUAUGCGGAGGAACACCGAUGGCGAAAGCAAUCCCCUGGGCCUGUACUGACGCUCAUGCACGAAAGCGUGGGGAGCAAACAGGAUUAGAUACCCUGGUAGUCCACGCCCUAAACGAUGUCAACUGGUUGUUGGGUCUUCACUGACUCAGUAACGAAGCUAACGCGUGAAGUUGACCGCCUGGGGAGUACGGCCGCAGGUGAAACUCAAAGGAAUGACGGGACCCGCACA
rnacentral:rRNA from 1 species